rnacentral:rRNA from 1 species
UACGAAGGGGGCUAGCGUUGUUCGGAAUCACUGGGCGUAAAGGGCGCGUAGGCGGCCGAUCAAGUCGGGGGUGAAAGCCUGUGGCUCAACCACAGAAUUGCCUUCGAUACUGUUUGGCUUGAGACCGGAAGAGGUUAGUGGAACUCCGAGUGUAGAGGUGAAAUUCGUAGAUAUUCGGAAGAACACCAGUGGCGAAGGCGACUCACUGGCCCGAUACUGACGCUGAGGCGCGAAAGCGUGGGGAGCAAACAGG